rnacentral:lncRNA from 1 species
UCGGCGAGCUUGGGCGGCGGCGGUUUUCGUUGGUGGAGGAGCGGAUUUUGAGAAGCAGAGAGAGGGGUUUUGUGUGUGUGCGUCUGAGUGCGAGAGAAGGCGGAUCAAGGGAGAGGGUGACCGGAGGCGGCGGCGCUUCGCCGUCGCCAAGAGGGAGAUCGGAGGCGGUGCUCUUCGCCGGAGAAGAGGGUGGCGCCGCACCAAACUCUGGUGUGUGCGUGUGUUUGAUAAAGGGGAAGAGGAAGAAGGAUUAAGAGGAAUAGGGUUGGGGUGUGUU